UGGGGAAUAUUGCACAAUGGGCGCAAGCCUGAUGCAGCCAUGCCGCGUGUAUGAAGAAGGCCUUCGGGUUGUAAAGUACUUUCAGUCGGGAGGAAGGUGGUAAGGUUAAUAACCUUAUCAAUUGACGUUACCGACAGAAGAAGCACCGGCUAACUCCGUGCCAGCAGCCGCGGUAAUACGGAGGGUGCAAGCGUUAAUCGGAAUUACUGGGCGUAAAGCGCACGCAGGCGGUUGAUUGAGUCAGAUGUGAAAUCCCCGGGCUUAACCCGGGAAUUGCAUCUGAUACUGGUCAGCUAGAGUCGUGUAGAGGGGGGUAGAAUUCCAUGUGUAGCGGUGAAAUGCGUAGAGAUGUGGAGGAAUACCGGUGGCGAAGGCGGCCCCCUGGACAAAGACUGACGCUCAGGUGCGAAAGCGUGGGGGGCAAACAGG
rnacentral:rRNA from 1 species